UCAGUUAUCGUUUAUUUGAUAGUACCUUACUACAUGGAUAACCGUGGUAAUUCUAGAGCUAAUACAUGCUAAAAACCUCAACUUCGGAAGGGGUGUAUUUAUUAGAUAAAAAACCAGCGCCCUUCGGGGCUCCUUGGUGAUUCAUAAUAACUAAACGAAUCGCAUGGCCUUGCGCCGGCGAUGGUUCAUUCAAAUUUCUGCCCUAUCAACUUUCGAUGGUAGGAUAGUGGCCUACCAUGGUAUCAACGGGUAACGGGGAAUUAGGGUUCUAUUCCGGAGAGGGAGCCUGAGAAACGGCUACCACAUCCAAGGAAGGCAGCAGGCGCGCAAAUUACCCAAUCCCGACACGGGGAGGUAGUGACAAUAAAUACUGAUACAGGGCUCUUUUGGGUCUUGUAAUUGGAAUGAGUACAAUUUAAAUCCCUUAACGAGGAACAAUUGGAGGGCAAGUCUGGUGCCAGCAGCCGCGGUAAUUCCAGCUCCAAUAGCGUAUAUUAAAGUUGUUGCAGUUAAAAAGCUCGUAGUUGAACCUUGGGCCUGGCUGGCCGGUCCGCCUCACCGCGUGUACUGGUCCGGCCGGGCCUUUCCUUCUGGGGAGCCGCAUGCCCUUCACUGGGCGUGUCGGGGAACCAGGACUUUUACUUUGAAAAAAUUAGAGUGUUCAAAGCAGGCCUUUGCUCGAAUACAUUAGCAUGGAAUAAUAGAAUAGGACGUGUGGUUCUAUUUUGUUGGUUUCUAGGACCGCCGUAAUGAUUAAUAGGGAUAGUCGGGGGCGUCAGUAUUCAAUUGUCAGAGGUGAAAUUCUUGGAUUUAUUGAAGACUAACUACUGCGAAAGCAUUCGCCAAGGAUGUUUUCAUUAAUCAGUGAACGAAAGUUAGGGGAUCGAAGACGAUCAGAUACCGUCGUAGUCUUAACCAUAAACUAUGCCGACUAGGGAUCGGGCGAUGUUAUUAUUUUGACUCGCUCGGCACCUUACGAGAA
rnacentral:rRNA from 2 species